GGAGGGAAAAUUACCUGCAGACUAUGUCAUAAUAAACAAGAAAUCAGGAAUAAGAGGUCAGCUGCUCAUGUUAGCUUGCAAACUCAAGGUGCCAAGAUGCUAUAAAAUUGAGAUGUAAAAUUCCCACCAGCGAGAGUUGGAGAUAAUGUACGCAUCCGCAUACCAGAUGUUGACAGAGGUCGUGGUGAUCCACGAAGCGUCCUUGCAGUUGUCAUGAACAUCGAGGGCGCUUUCUACAGUUGUUUGAGAACAUGGUGUUCUCAAACAACUGUACUCCAGGAGUGAGUUUUCCAUUCAGCAAGAGAAACUGCUUACAUUGGCAUCCAUGGGAACAGAAGAAAAAGCACUACGAACCCGUCGACUCUUCACAAUCGCUGACCGGCAGCCAGGCUACACUCGAUGGAAUUGCAUUACCAAGUGCUCAACAAAUUGCUGCAGAUGUAAAAAUAACAAACUGCUGUGUAAUUCGAAAUGUCAUAAAAGUUCAUCUUGUAACAAGUGAUGAUAUAGAUAAUUUUCUGUAAUAAACUAAUACAGUAUAUAAUGUGAUUAUCUUUCUUUUUUGUUUUCGCCAAGGGAAAGGAAAUCUUCAUAAGAGACCAGGAGAUUCCUGGUACUGUGAGAUUCUUACUCACUAAAACCUCUCCCUUCAGACUACAGCCCACCUAGGGCUACCUACCUUCUUGGCCUCCGGAAGGACGACCCUAGGCGCUUCCUACGUAGCUUAGGUGCUACAAUAGACCACCGGGUGGGAACUAACUUCGCACCCGGUGGUCUUGAUAUCACUAUACCCGAACCUACGUUUCCUCUCCACGUGUUAUCGGGUCUGAUACAGUUGGUCAUGCGUUGUCUUUUCGAUUCGCCUUGCACCAGCUCAGUUCCAGGCUCCCCUUCUAAGAGCACGCCUAUAGCCCGAGUGAUGGCUGCUGGCAACAUUAGACAGACCCUCUUGUCAAGGAUCUGCCAAAUAGUUCUUUCCCUUAUCUCCUCCCAGCGCGGACAUUCUACUAGAAGGUGCUCGAGGGUCUCAGGCUUGUUCUGUUGACAACAGGGGCAAAUUUGUCGGAAAACUCCAUCGAGUCAGCGGCGGCUAUGAG
rnacentral:lncRNA from 1 species